UCCGAUAUGGUGUAGUGGCUAACAUGAUGCCCUCUCAUCUAUGUGAGAGGUUAGGCAUAGCCCCGAGUUCGAUUCUCGGUUUCGGAA
rnacentral:tRNA from 1 species